CCUACGGGGGGCAGCAGUGAGGAAUAUUGGUCAAUGGACGCAAGUCUGAACCAGCCAUGCCGUGUACAGGAAGACGGCUCUAUGAGUUGUAAACUGCUUUUGUACGAGGGUAAACGCAGAUACGCGUAUCUGUCUGAAAGUAUCGUACGAAUAAGGAUCGGCUAACUCCGUGCCAGCAGCCGCGGGAAUACGGAGGAUUCAAGCGUUAUCCGGAUUUAGUGGGUUUAAAGGGUGCGUAGGCGGUCGGAUAAGUUAGAGGUGAAAUCCCGAGGCUCAACUUCGGAAUUGCCUCUGAUACUGUUCGGCUAGAGAGUAGUUGCGGUAGGCGGAAUGUAUGGUGUAGCGGUGAAAUGCUUAGAGAUCAUACAGAACACCGAUUGCGAAGGCAGCUUACCAAGCUACUUCUGACGUUGAGGCACGAAAGCGUGGGGAGCAAACAGGAUUAGAUACCCCAGUAGUC
rnacentral:rRNA from 1 species